CCUUCUGUGCCCUGUGGCAGCUGUGCUGUGGCUGACGAAAGCCAGGACCCUGCCUUGUCCCGUCCCGGAGGUGCAGCUCCUCUGGGCUUGCACAGGCUUGGGAGGAGCCCUGUGUGGGUCUGCACCGCCCUCCCCGAACCCUCUGUCCCUCUGUGCCUGCAGGCCCGUCCCGGGGUCUCACUGACCCUCAACACUCCAUGCUGUGAGGCUGGGUGGCCUGGACCCCUAGGCUGUGGCGGAGGUGCCCACCAUGCCUGGCGGAGAUGUUGCUGGUCUCUUUCUGUGAUGAGGAGCAUGGGAGGUUGGGUGCUGUCUGCUGGCAACACAGCCACGCGUGGGAUCCAGACUGCUUCUGUGUGUGCAGUCCGUGGUCACUGUGGCCAGGUGUGCUCAGGGUUGUCAGGCCCUCCGUGUGCCCACCCCAAGGACGUCCUCUCCCUGCAGACUACGUCUACUUCGAGAACUCCUCCAGCAACCCAUACCUGAUCCGGAGGAUUGAGGAGCUCAACAAGACGGCCAAUGGGAACGUGGAGGCCAAGGUGGUGUGCUUCUACCGGAGGCGGGACAUCUCCAGCACCCUCAUCGCCCUGGCCGACAAGCACGCAACCCUGUCAGUCUGCUAUAAGGCCGGACCGGGGGCGGACAACGGCGAGGAAGGGGAAAUAGAAGAGGAAAUGGAGAAUCCGGAAAUGGUGGACCUGCCCGAGAAACUAAAGCACCAGCUGCGGCAUCGGGAGCUGUUCCUCUCCCGGCAGCUGGAGUCCCUGCCCGCCACGCACAUCAGGGGCAAGUGCAGCGUCACCCUGCUCAACGAGACCGAAUCGCUCAAGUCCUACCUGGAGCGGGAGGAUUUCUUCUUCUAUUCUCUAGUCUACGACCCACAGCAGAAGACCCUGCUGGCAGAUAAAGGAGAGAUUCGAGUAGGAAACCGGUACCAGGCAGACAUCACCGACUUGUUAAAAGAAGGCGAGGAGGAUGGCCGAGACCAGUCCAAGCUGGAGACCAAGGUGUGGGAGGCGCACAACCCACUCACAGAUAAGCAGAUUGACCAGUUCCUGGUAGUGGCCCGCUCCGUGGGCACCUUCGCACGGGCCCUGGACUGCAGCAGCUCCGUCCGACAGCCCAGCCUGCACAUGAGUGCCGCAGCUGCCUCCCGAGACAUCACCCUGUUCCAUGCCAUGGACACUCUCCACAAGAACAUCUACGACAUCUCCAAGGCCAUCUCAGCGCUGGUGCCGCAGGGCGGGCCCGUGCUCUGCAGGGACGAGAUGGAGGAGUGGUCUGCGUCAGAGGCCAACCUUUUCGAGGAAGCCCUGGAAAAAUAUGGGAAGGAUUUCACGGACAUUCAGCAAGAUUUUCUCCCGUGGAAGUCGCUGACCAGCAUCAUUGAAUACUACUACAUGUGGAAGACCACCGACAGAUACGUGCAGCAGAAACGCUUGAAAGCAGCUGAAGCUGAGAGCAAGUUAAAGCAAGUUUAUAUUCCCAACUAUAACAAGCCAAAUCCGAACCAAAUCAGCGUCAACAACGUCAAGGCCGGUGUGGUGAACGGCACGGGAGCACCGGGCCAGAGCCCUGGCGCUGGCCGGGCCUGCGAGAGCUGUUACAUGUCGUCUCUGCGCAUCUUGUUGGACAUAUUGGAAGAAAUAUGGUGGCUUGAAAAUGCCAACCCGGUUAGAUGGAGAGAGGCCAGGACCAAACCGCAGUAACAUGAGUCCCCACGGCCUCCCAGCCCGGAGCAGCGGGAGCCCCAAGUUCGCCAUGAAGACCAGGCAGGCCUUCUAUCUGCACACGACGAAGCUGACACGGAUCGCCCGGCGCCUGUGCCGUGAGAUCCUGCGCCCAUGGCAUGCCGCGCGGCACCCCUACCUGCCCAUCAACAGCGCAGCCAUCAAGGCCGAGUGCACGGCGCGGCUGCCCGAAGCCUCCCAGAGCCCACUGGUGCUGAAGCAGGCGGUGCGCAAGCCGCUGGAAGCCGUGCUCCGGUAUCUUGAGACCCACCCCCGUCCCCCGAAGCCUGACCCCGUGAAGAGUGUGUCCAGCGUGCUCAGCAGCCUGACGCCCGCCAAGGCGGCCCCUGUCAUCAACAACGGCUCCCCCACCAUCCUGGGCAAGCGCAGCUAUGAGCAGCACAACGGGGUGGAUGGCAACAUGAAGAAGCGCCUCUUGAUGCCCAGUAGGGGUCUGGCAAACCACGGACAGACCAGGCACAUGGGACCAAGCCGGAACCUCCUGCUCAACGGGAAGUCCUACCCCACCAAAGUGCGCCUGAUCCGGGGGGGCUCCCUGCCCCCGGUCAAGCGGCGGCGGAUGAACUGGAUCGAUGCCCCGGAUGACGUGUUCUACAUGGCCACCGAGGAGACCAGGAAGAUCCGAAAGCUGCUCUCAUCCUCGGAAACCAAGCGUGCUGCCCGCCGGCCCUACAAGCCCAUCGCCCUGCGCCAGAGCCAGGCCCUGCCGCUGCGGCCGCCACCGCCUGCGCCCGUCAACGACGAGCCCAUUGUCAUCGAGGACUAGGGGCUGCCCCCUCCUGCGGCUGCCCCCCCGCCCCUCGCCCGCCCACGCGGCCCCUUCCCAGCCAGCCCGCCGCCCGCCCCUCAGUUUGGUAGUGCCCCACCUCCCGCCCUCACCUGCAGAGAAACGCGCUCCUUGGCGGACACUGGGGGAGGAGAGGAAGAAGCACGGCUAACUUAUUCCGAGAAUGCCGAGGAGUUGUCGUUUUUAGCUUUGUGUUUACUUUUUGGCUGGAGCGGAGAUGAGGGGCCACCCCGUGCCCCUGUGCUGCGGGGCCUUUUGCCCGGAGGCCGGGCCCUAAGGUUUUGUUGUGUUCUGUUGAAGGUGCCAUUUUAAAUUUUAUUUUUAUUACUUUUUUUGUAGAUGAACUUGAGCUCUGUAACUUACACCUGGAAUGUUAGGAUCGUGCGGCCGCGGCCGGCCGAGCUGCCUGGCGGGGUUGGCCCUUGUCUUUUCAAGUAAUUUUCAUAUUAAACAAAAACAAAGAAAAAAAAUCUUAUAAAAAGGAAAAAACCAA